CCGACCCCGCUCCAGCCCCGCUCGGUCCCGCCGUGCCCUGGAGAUGCUCUCGGGGCUGCGCCGCCGCUUUUUCCCCCCGGAAGCGACCCACGGCGGCAGAUCCGACCGAGAUCGUCCCCGGGGUGACGAAGCUUAUGGAAAGAAAGACCAAAGGCCUGGAGGCUCCCUCUUUUCCUUCGCUCGCCGUGGCCGUGCCGGACGCCUCUGGCAGGACUGACCCCGUGGCUU